UACCAGCUCUCCGAGUGGUGUGGAUGUUUAUUGGGCCUAAAGCAUCCGUAGCUGGCUGGACAAGUCCCCUGUUAAAUCCACCGAUUUAAUCGUUGGAGUGCGGGGGAUACUGUUCGGCUAGGGGACGGGAGAGGCAGACGGUAUUUUCGGGGUAGGGGUGAAAUCCUAUAAUCCCGGGAAGACCACCAGUGGCGAAGGCUGUCUGCUAGAACGCGCCCGACGGUGAGGGAUGAAGCUGGGGGAGCGAACCGGAUUAGAUACCCGGGUAGUCCCAGCUGUGAACGAUGCAGGCUAGGUGUAUGGGCGGCCACGUGCCGCUCUAGUGCCGCAGGGAAGCCGUUAAGCCUGCCGCCUGGGGAGUACGGCCGCAAGGCUGAAACUUAAAGGAAUUGGCGGGGAGCACCACAAGGGUGAAGCUUGCGGUUU
rnacentral:rRNA from 1 species